UGAGGAACCAUGGCAUAGAUGGAAACCUUGAUAUGGACUAUAACUAUUGUAUUGGUGCAUGUAAGCAUUGGAUGCUGUAUUGCAUGUGGUAGAGCCGAGUACAGAAUAGGGGAUGAAUGUUGUCUCAUGUGUUGGCCAGGAUAUCAUGUGCAUAGUCAUUGUACUAAAUCUACAAGUAUACCUUCCUGUGUGCCCUGUAUUGACUCCACGUUCCUUGAUGAGCCCAGUG